UGACAAUUCAUUGAAAUACACAUAAUUUUCAUUCAGCUGAUUCAUUGAAAGGAUUUACUUACAUAAAAUACAUUAAAAAUGCCUUGCAAAGGAUGUGAAAAAGAUUGCAAAUGCACCAGCACUAAAUGCGAUGAGCGUUGUAAAUGUGCCCAGGGCAAUAAAUGCAAUUGUAUGUCGGGCCAAAAGGAUGCAGAGGCAACUGGAAAAUCCUGUUGCAGCAAACAAACUAAAAGCGAUUGAAAUUUGAGUAUUGGAGUAAAUUUUAUAAUGAUGAUUUAUAAUGUGAAGAAUGUUAUUAUUGCCACAAAAUAAAGAUUGAUUUACAAUUUUGAAAGAAAAGAA